rnacentral:sRNA from 12 species
GUGAUGGCAGCGGGUUUUUACCGUUUCUCCGCUUUGAGCCAGCCGAAGCAGAACGGUGUCAGGCAGGCUACAUCAC